rnacentral:rRNA from 1 species
UGCAGUCGAGCGGUAACAGAGAUAGCUUGCUAUCUGCUGACGGGCGGCGGACGGGUGAGUAAUGCUUGGGAAUAUGCCUUUGAGUGGGGGACAACAGUUGGAAACGACUGCUAAUACCGCAUAACGUCUACGGACCAAAGGGGGGGAUCUUCGGACCUCUCGCUCAUUGAUUAGCCCAAGUGAGAUUAGCUAGUUGGUAAGGUAAUGGCUUACCAAGGCGACGAUCUCUAGCUGGUUUGAGAGGAUGAUCAGCCACACUGGGACUGAGACACGGCCCAGACUCCUACGGGAGGCAGCAGUGGGGAAUAUUGCACAAUGGGCGAAAGCCUGAUGCAGCCAUGCCGCGUGUGUGAAGAAGGCCUUCGGGUUGUAAAGCACUUUCAGUUGUGAGGAAAGGGAUGUAGUUAAUAGCUGCAUUCUGUGACGUUAACAACAGAAGAAGCACCGGCUAACUUCGUGCCAGCAGCCGCGGUAAUACGAGGGGUGCAAGCGUUAAUCGGAAUUACUGGGCGUAAAGCGUUCGUAGGCGGUCUAUUAAGCAGGAUGUGAAAGCCCAGGGCUCAACCUUGGAACUGCAUUUUGAACUGGUAGACUAGAGUACUGUAGAGGGUGGUGGAAUUUCCAGUGUAGCGGUGAAAUGCGUAGAGAUUGGAAGGAACAUCAGUGGCGAAGGCGGCCACCUGGACAGAUACUGACGCUGAGGAACGAAAGCGUGGGGAGCGAACAGGAU